rnacentral:rRNA from 1 species
GCAUGGCUGUCGUCAGCUCGUGUCGUGAGAUGUUGGGUUAAGUCCCGCAACGAGCGUAACCCUCACCCUUAGUUGCCAGCGGGUUAAGCCGGGCACUUUAAGGAAACUGCCAGUGGUAAACUGGAGGAAGGUGGGGAUGAUGUCAAGUCAGCAUGGCCCUUAUGGGGUGGGCUACACACGUGCUACAAUGGUGACUACAAUAGGUUGCAAUGCCGUAAGGCUGAGCUAAUCCGUAAAAGUCAUCUCAGUUCGGAUUGUCCUCUGCAACUCGAGGGCAUGAAGUAGGAAUCGCUAGUAAUCGUGGAUCAGCAUGCCACGGUGAAUACGUUCUCGGGUCUUGUACACACUGCCCGUCACGCCAUGGGAAUUGGCUUAACUCGAAGCUGGUGCGCCAACCGAAAGGAGGCAGCC